rnacentral:rRNA from 1 species
AGACCCGAAACCCGGUGAUCUAGCCAUGGGCAGGUUGAAGGUUGGGUAACACUAACUGGAGGACCGAACCGACUAAUGUUGAAAAAUUAGCGGAUGACCUGUGGCUGGGGGUGAAAGGCCAAUCAAACCGGGAGAUAGCUGGUUCUCCCCGAAAGCUAUUUAGGUAGCGCCUCGUGAAUUCAUCUCCGGGGGUAGAGCACUGUUUCGGCUAGGGGGCCAUCCCGGCUUACCAACCCGAUGCAAACUGCGAAUACCGGAGAAUGUUAUCACGGGAGACACACGGCGGGUGCUAACGUCCGUCGUGAAGAGGGAAACAACCCAGACCGCCAGCUAAGGUCCCAAAGUCAUGGUUAAGUGGGAAACGAUGUGGGAAGGCCCAGACAGCCAGGAUGUUGGCUUAGAAGCAGCCAUCAUUUAAAGAAAGCGUAAUAGCUCACUGGUCGAGUCGGCCUGCGCGGAAGAUGUAACGGGGCUAAACCAUGCACCGAAGCUGCGGCAGCGACACUCAGGUGUUGUUGGGUAGGGGAGCGUUCUGUAAGCCUGUGAAGGUGUGUCGUGAGGCAUGCUGGAGGUAUCAGAAGUGCGAAUGCUGACAUAAGUAACGAUAAAGCGGGUGAAAAGCCCGCUCGCCGGAAGACCAAGGGUUCCUGUCCAACGUUAAUCGGGGCAGGGUGAGUCGACCCCUAAGGCGAGGCCGAAAGGCGUAGUCGAUGGGAAACGGGUUAAUAUUCCCGUACUUGGUGUUACUGCGAAGGGGGGACGGAGAAGGCUAUGUUGGCCGGGCGACGGUUGUCCCGGUUUAAGCGUGUAGGUGUGUGUUCCAGGUAAAUCCGGUUCACUUUAACACUGAGGCGUGAUGACGAGGCACUACGGUGCUGAAGCAACAAAUGCCCUGCUUCCAGGAAAAGCCUCUAAGCAUCAGGUAACAUCAAAUCGUACCCCAAACCGACACAGGUGGUCAGGUAGAGAAUACCAAGG